GUCAGUGUGGCAUAGUGGUUAGAGUGUCAGACUAAGGCCUGGAAGAUGGGGGUUCAAAUCCCCACUUGACC